rnacentral:tRNA from 1 species
AUUUUAAAUUUUCUAAAAUGGCAGAAUAGUGCAAUGGAUUUAAGCUCCAAAUAUAAAGUUUAUACUUUUUUUAGAA